UACGUAGGGUGCGAGCGUUAAUCGGAAUUACUGGGCGUAAAGCGUGCGCAGGCGGUGAUGUAAGACAGAUGUGAAAUCCCCGGGCUCAACCUGGGAAUGGCCGUUGAAACUGGCGAACUGGAGUGUGGCAGAGGGGGGUGGAAUUCCGCGUGUAGCAGUGAAAUGCGUAGAGAUGCGGAGGAACACCGAUGGCGAAGGCAGCCCCCUGGGCUAACACUGACGCUCAGGCACGAAAGCGUGGGGAGCAAACAGG
rnacentral:rRNA from 1 species